rnacentral:rRNA from 1 species
UACGGGGGGGGGCAAGCGUUGUUCGGAAUUACUGGGCGUAAAGGGCUCGUAGGCGGCCAACUAAGUCGGAUGUGAAAUCCCCAGGCUUAACCUGGGAACUGCAUCCGAUACUGGAUGGCUUGAAUCCGGGAGAGGGAUGCGGAAUUCCAGGUGUAGCGGUGAAAUGCGUAGAUAUCUGGAGGAACACCGGUGGCGAAGGCGGCAUCCUGGACCGGCAUUGACGCUGAGGAGCGAAAGCCAGGGGAGCAAACGGG